UUUUGUUGCCAUAAAUAUAUUUUUGAAAUUGAAUUCUUAUAUAAAAGUUUAAACGUUAUUUAAACGGAAGGCAAAACUUGCUUCCAUAUAGGUCAACCUCCAGUGUAAUUAUCUUAAGCCUAUCGAAUAUGGUCCAUAUCGGUCAAACCUUAAAUGUUGGUGCCAUACUAACGUACCCCUAAAUUUCAGUAUUUUUUCUCUAAACCCCACAUUUUUGUACCCACAAUUUGUCUAAAAUUUGGCAUUCGACAUUUUCUCGACAUUGCAAAAGUAUAUUCCAAGUCUUGGACGAAUCGACCAAUAGCUCCCAUGUAAGAGUGCAUUCAACAAAUACAGAUUUUUGCACAGAUUUGGAAAUGUUCUAUACAUCGUUGGAAAGGUAUUACCUUCAUACUAAGCUUUAUUGCGCAGAUACAUAAUUCGGAUAGAACAAAGAUAUUUUUGUGUUUCUUUUUGGGUUUUAUAGAGGAAGUGAUAGAGAAUACAAAUUUGUUAAUAUGUGCAAUGAAAUAUGAUGUCCUACUUGGGUUUAAACAUUCAAAAUAACACUAGUUAAA